AAAUGAGAAAAUGAGUUUACAUGGCAGAAGGAGUGCCAUUAAUCUUUAAGUGAAAGUUACCAAGAUGAUGAGAAAAGUUUGAUAUUAGAAGUCCCUAGUCAAAUCUGAGAAGGUGACUUAGGACGAAGGAAACAAUUAAGGUAGUUCACCACUUUACUAAGAUGAAGUGGGUGCAAGAAUGUUGUUAGGUCCUGAACUGGUCCAACAGGCGAUUGAGAAAGUCGACCACAUCAAGCAAAGAAUCAAAGAAACUCAAGAUAGACAAAAGUCUUACGCCGAUAAACGCCGAUUGGAAUUAGAAUUUAAUGUUGGGGAUCGAGUUUUCCUCAAAGUCUCUCCCUCAAAGGGAGUUAUACGUUUCGGAAAGAGGGGCAAGUUACGACCCCGUUAUAUAGGACCUUUUGAGACCCUAGAUAAGUUAGGUCUUUGUAGCCUAUAAGUUGGCUCUGCCACCAAGCAUUGUGGAUGUAUACAAUACGUAUAGCACCUCGCAAUUAAGAAAGCAUGUGAUUAAGCAAGAUAAAGUAGUCAUAGCCAGGACCUAAGUUGUGAUGAGAAAUCAGUCCAGAUACUUGAUCGCAAGAUUCAAGUUUUACGAGGCAAUAAUAUUGUUCUCGUCGUGUAGUGGAACCAUCACAGGAUGGAAAAGGCCACAAAAGAGAUGAAUGAAACGAAUGACUAGUAUCACAAGAUAGAAUACCAGAUAUGCAAUUCCGAGGACGGAAUUUUUAUAAGGAGGGAGGAAUGUAAUACCCCGUUUCCCCGAGCUAAAUUUAGAAUUUAUUUUAAACUUAAGAUUUAAGAUGAUUCACGCCGGAUUGAGAAAAAGAGUUUAUUUUAAUUCUAACAAAAGUGUUUAAAAAAAAAAACACAUUUAUAAAUUUAGUUAUUAAAUUUAUGUGCGUCGCAUAUUUAUUUAAUUUAGCAUUCAAAGCAUUUUUUUUACGAGCUUUUAUUUAAGCAAACACUGAACGAUUAUUACAGUUUUCAUAGUACAACCUGGAAGACUUUUUAUUUUAUUUUAUCUUAUUUUAUUUCAUUUUUAUUCCUACACCUACUCCCACCACUAACUCCUCUACUGCACAUCACCAACUUCCCUACUGCAAUACACCCACUACAUCUACUCCUUUACAGGCAAUCAAGCCAUGCCUUUACAGUCAGACUCCUCAUCUGCAAUACAACUAUACAUCAACCAAGUUUCUGCCUUUUUCCAUUAGGCACAAAUUAAUUGAUCACUCACCACAUAUCACUUCGCAAGAAAGAAACUCAAAUUCAUAAGUCUAUACAAAAUAUAUAUUCCAAGCUCAUCUCCUUCAACAAUUCAGCAGCAGCAGCAAACGAUCAGCCCUCUCAUUCAAGGCUUCGAGCAUCAGAAGGAUUAGCACUGCUAUUCCGAUUCAGAGAUAAGGUUAAACGACAGGCUUUGCCUAUACAGGUUGAGCAGUUGAUGGAAUGGAAUGAUGUUGAGCGGGUGUUCCUUUGACAUUUCAAGAAAUGUAACCUUGAGUAUACAUCUUCAUAUGUAUAUCUCACACGUUUUCCGCUGCAAAACACUUUGAUUAGGAUAACUCUAUGUUAUGAAGUUGUUACACGUGUUAUUGGGUAAACCACCUUAAUCAGUUCUCUUUUAUGUGUUUGUUUUAUAAGUAUCCAAAUGAUCAUAUAUGAUCCUAGUUUUUUUAUCUAUAAGUGAUAUUUUCAUAUACUUUAAUGUUAAGUAAUUGUCCAUUUCCA